rnacentral:rRNA from 1 species
GAUGAACGCUGGCGGCGUGCUUAACACAUGCAAGUCGAACGAACCUUCGGGUUAGUGGCGGACGGGUGAGUAACGCGUGGGAAUCUGCCCUCAGGAGGGGGAUAACGGCCGGAAACGGCCGCUAAUACCCCAUAUGCCGAGAGGUGAAAUGAAUUUCGCCUGAGGAUGAGCCCGCGUCUGAUUAGCUAGUUGGUGGGGUAAUGGCCCACCAAGGCGACGAUCAGUAGCUGGUCUGAGAGGAUGAUCAGCCACACUGGGACUGAGACACGGCCCAGACUCCUACGGGAGGCAGCAGUGGGGAAUUUUCCGCAAUGGGCGAAAGCCUGACGGAGCAACGCCGCGUGAGGGAUGAAGGCCUCUGGGCUGUAAACCUCUUUUCUCAAGGAAGAAGACAUGACGGUACUUGAGGAAUAAGCCACGGCUAAUUCCGUGCCAGCAGCCGCGGUAAUACGGGAGUGGCAAGCGUUAUCCGGAAUUAUUGGGCGUAAAGCGUCCGCAGGCGGCCUUGUAAGUCUGUCGUUAAAGCGUGGAGCUUAACUCCAUUUAAGCGAUGGAAACUACAAGGCUUGAGUGUGGUAGGGGCAGAGGGAAUUCCCGGUGUAGCGGUGAAAUGCGUAGAUAUCGGGAAGAACACCAGUGGCGAAGGCGCUCUGCUGGGCCAUAACUGACGCUCAUGGACGAAAGCCAGGGGAGCGAAAGGGAUUAGAUACCCCUGUAGUCCUGGCCGUAAACGAUGAACACUAGGUGUCGGGGGAAUCGACCCCCUCGGUGUCGUAGCUAACGCGUUAAGUGUUCCGCCUGGGGAGUACGCACGCAAGUGUGAAACUCAAAGGAAUUGACGGGGGCCCGCACAAGCGGUGGAGUAUGUGGUUUAAUUCGAUGCAACGCGAAGAACCUUACCAGGGUUUGACAUCCUGCGAUUCCCUUGGAAACGAGGGAGUGCCUUCGGGAGCGCAGAGACAGGUGGUGCAUGGCUGUCGUCAGCUCGUGUCGUGAGAUGUUGGGUUAAGUCCCGCAACGAGCGCAACCCACGUCUUUAGUUGCCAGCAUUCAGUUGGGCACUCUAGAGAGACCGCCGGUGAUAAACCGGAGGAAGGUGUGGAUGACGUCAAGUCAUCAUGCCCCUUACAUCCUGGGCUACACACGUACUACAAUGCUACGGACAAAGGGUUGCAAGCUCGCGAGAGUUAGCUAAUCCCAUAAACCGUGGCUCAGUUCAGAUCGUAGGCUGCAACUCGCCUACGUGAAGGAGGAAUCGCUAGUAAUCGCAGGUCAGCAUACUGCGGUGAAUACGUUCCCGGGCCUUGUACACACCGCCCGUCACACCAUGGAAGUUGGCCAUGCCCGAAGUCGUUACUCCAACCCUUGUGGAGGAGGACGCCGAAGGUGGGGCUGAUGACUGGGGUGAAGUCGUAACAAGGUAGCCGUACCGGAAGGUGCGGCUGGAUCACCUCCU